CUUUUACAUAUGGAAUAAAAUUUCUGUCGUCUGUUGUUGUGUCGGUUUGUCAGAUGGAGCGGCAACUAUUCGUUUAAUUGGAACAAUUUUUUGUAAUGACUAAAAUGUAUUCGUGUUUACGCAUAACGAGAGACUUUCCAAAUACCUUUAGUUUUAUAAUAUCGAAAGUUAUCGAAUUGGCGAAGUAAUGUUUUUGUAAGGUACAAUUACGUUUAUUUACUUGUGCAGCCAGUAAUCUCAUCACAUUGACAACCUUACAGAUGGAUGCCAGCCUGGUAGUAACCCUGGAUAACCUUUACCCUGCCCUCAUCCAGUGCUUUGCUGUUAUCAUAUGUGGGUAUGUUGCGGGCAGGAUUGGACUGGUCACGGAGGAGCAGUCGUCAGGUCUCAACACGUUUGUCGGCACGUUCAGUCUCCCCUCACUCAUUUUCCUGUCACUGGCCUCACUCAAUCUGUCAGAUGUCAACUGGUACUUUCUGUUGGCAAUACUGGUCUCCAAGGCUCUGGUGUUCCUCUCUGUAGUCCUAGUCACACUGCUCGUGUCUCGACCGUUCAGUGCUGCUCGAGCUGGUCUCUAUGCCAUAUUUUGCACUCAGAGCAAUGACUUUGCCAUCGGUUUUCCUAUAGUCUUGGCUCUGUACAAGACGACACACCCAGACUACGUAAACUACCUCUACCUCCUAGCCCCAGUGUCUUUGGCGAUACUCAACCCAUUUGGUUUUGUGUUGAUGGAGGUGAGCCGAAAUCGUGCAGGCGAGAAUGAACAAAGCAAAUGGACUACAGUCGCCAAUGUUGCACGUAACAUUGCUACCAACCCGAUAGUCUUCAUGACCACCCUUGGCAUGUUGGCCAACGUGCUCUUCAACCACACUCUACCUCCUGCCAUGGAGGAUGUUCUAAACGUGUUCGGGUCUGCCUUCACAGGCACUGCUCUGUUCUUACUAGGACUAAGAAUGGUCGGCAAGGUGCAGAAGCUUCAUGGCUUUGCGCUUUUGGUGCCUGGAAUACUCAUUGCUGUCAAAUUGUUGGCACUUCCAUUGGUUACCAGGGAAGUGGUAAGCCUGAUCCUUCAGUUUAGCCAGCACAAUAGUACAGAAGUCCAAGAUCUGAGUACUUAUGGUUUUCUUUAUGGAACGUUUCCCUCGGCCCCUAGCGUAUUCGUUUACGCUACAAGCUAUUCUAUGGAUGUAGAUUUGAUAGCAUGUGCGAUGGUGGCUUGUACAUUCCUGUCAGCCCCUCUCAUGUUCGCCUCAGCCAAGAUGGUGAUAGCCUCCAACCUGGACCCCAAACAGUUCAUGAAGACUCUGAACCUGUUUGAGUUCGACAUCAGUAUCGCUGCAGUACUGGCUGCUAUUUGGAUGUUGGUGCUUUUCGUAGCGAACAAGAGCUAUCAGAACUUCCACCAGAGAAUGGUGUUGUACUUAGUCAUUUCACAGCUGGUAGGAUGUGUUGGAUUCCUGCUGGGCCACAUUCCUCUGACUCCUGUACAUUAUGCUCACUUCAUCCUGGAGACAGUGGGGGAUCUGAGUGCACGUCUGUGGACCUGCCUUCUGGCCACAGCCUUGCUACUUGUGGAGUGCCACAACCUCUGCAGCCUCAUGCGACUGCAGCCUCUUUUCCUCUUUGCUGCCUGGGGGUUGCCCACCCUGGCUGUGGCCAUGUUGAUGAUGACAACCACACCACAGCCGGUAGGAACAGGAGAGAACUAUGAGUACGGUAGAACACAAGCUGCUGUUAUACUGUUUGUGCUUAUUACUUCGUUGGUUGUGACUGUGGGCUGUCUGAUCCUGCACCAAUGGUACCUGAGGAGACAGAAGCAGUAUCUGCUGCUGGUUCGGGAGACUAAUGAAUCCUCCAGUCAUCCAGCAGCGGUGGACCACAGUCCUGUCCAUAACGGUGGGAUGGUGUCUCCCCGAAGAGGAUCCAACAAACCAGAGGACAGGGAAGGCCUGUGCUCGGCAAAACCAAGUAUAAAUGACCGAGGCCACCCAGAGAGACAGACCAGUGAGGAGCGACAGAUGGCCAGUCAGGAGGAUAACAUCUUGAGACUCAUCGUUCUGUUGGUGUUUCUCACCUGUUCUGUCUUUAUCAGCCUGUCAGUCUGUAUAUGGAGGGUUGUGAUGGAGGGUAUCACAGGUGUGUAUGUGGAACUGCUAUUUCUGGACGCAAGUCUCAACAGAGGCCAAAGCCUGCUUGUGCUGGCUGUAUAUGGGCUGGACAGCAACACCAUUCUGGAGCCUCUCCUCUCAAGGAGAAGACAAGAGACUGAGGACUACCAGGAACUCUCUGAGGACGAUAGUUUGCUUCUUCACAUUGAGUGACUUCCGCUAAACCGCAUGCAUGCCACUUUUUAAAUUUGGCACCUUAUUAAACAUUGGCACUAGUAACAGGGAGUAACGAGGCUGUGGUACGGAGGUGAGACGCUGCAGUUGCCGGCUUGGGAGGAUUUGUCGUUCGAGACACGCCACGUCUGUGAGCAGUUUAUCAGCCAUCAUCUGGACCAGUGCCGUCAGGAUAUCAUCACCGAUACC
rnacentral:misc_RNA from 1 species